rnacentral:rRNA from 1 species
GACGUAGGAGGCGAGCGUUAUCCGGAUUCACUGGGCGUAAAGCGCAUGUAGGCGGUUGCACAAGUCGUGUGUUAAAGCCCCUGGCUCAACUGGGGGAGGUCAUGCGAGACGGUGCGACUGGAGGGCAGCAGAGGCACAUGGAACUCCCGGUGUAGCGGUGGAAUGCGUAGAGAUCGGGAAGAACACCAGUGGCGAAGGCGGUGUGCUGGGCUGCACCUGACGCUGAGAUGCGAAAGUGUGGGGAGCAAACGGG